UAGGGAAUCUUCCGCAAUGGACGCAAGUCUGACGGAGCAACGCCGCGUGAGUGAAGAAGGAUUUCGGUUCGUAAAACUCUGUUGUUAGAGAAGAACAGCGCAUAGAGUAACUGUUAUGCGUGUGACGGUAUCUAACCAGAAAGCCACGGCUAACUACGUGCCAGCAGCCGCGGUAAUACGUAGGUGGCAAGCGUUGUCCGGAUUUAUUGGGCGUAAGGCGAGCGCAGGCGGUCAAUUAAGUCUGAUGUGAAAGCCCCCGGCUCAACCGGGGAGGGUCAUUGGAAACUGGUUGACUUGAGUGCAGAAGAGGAGGGUGGAAUUCCAUGUGUAGCGGUGAAAUGCGUAGAUAUAUGGAGGAACACCAGUGGCGAAGGCGACUCUCUGGUCUGUAACUGACGCUGAGGCUCGAAAGCGUGGGUAGCAAACAGG
rnacentral:rRNA from 1 species